ACAGAGGUGGCGAGCGUUACUCGGAUUUAUUGGGUGUAAAGGGCAAGUAGGCGUCUCAACAAGUUAGAAGUGAAAUCCUGCAGCUCAACUGCAGAACUGCUUUUAAAACUGUUGGGAUUGAGACUGGAAGAGGAAAGCGGAAUUCUCGGUGUAAGAGUGAAAUCUGUAGAUAUCGAGAGGAACACCAGUGGCGAAGGCGGCUUUCUGGUCCAGUACUGACGCUGAAUUGCGAAAGCUAGGGGAGCAAACAGGAUUAGAUACCCUGGUAGUCCUAGCCGUAAACUAUGAGCACUAGGUGUUGGGGGUUUACCUUCAGCGCCGUAAGGUAACACGUUAAGUGCUCCACCUGGGGACUACGACCGCAAGGUUA
rnacentral:rRNA from 1 species